rnacentral:rRNA from 1 species
AGCUCCAAUAGCGUAUAUUAAUGCUGUUGCGGUUAAAAAGCUCGUAGUUGGAUUUUGGGGCUCUCCCUUUUUUUGGGAAUUCAUUUGGAGGCUGGUCCGGUGUAAACCGCGUACCGGCCGCCGGGCCCUUUCGUCUGGAGGCCGGGCGCAUCGACUUGAUUGUCGUGCGAUUCCCCCGGUGUCUAGGACAAUUACUUUGAACAAAUUAGAGUGUUUAAAGCAGGCAUUUUCGCCUUGAAUACAUUAGCAUGGAAUAACCACUUAGGACUUUGGUUCUAUUUUGUUGGUUUUAAGAACUGAAGUAAUGAUUAACAGGAACCGUUGGGGCCAUUAGUAUUUAGUUGCCAGAGGUGAAAUUCUUAGACUUACGAAAGACUAACUUCUGCGAAAGCACUUGGCAAGGAGGUUUUCA